UUGAACGCUGGCGGCAGGCCUAACACAUGCAAGUCGAACGGUAACAGGAAGAAGCUUGCUUCUUUGCUGACGAGUGGCGGACGGGUGAGUAAUGUCUGGGAAACUGCCUGAUGGAGGGGGAUAACUACUGGAAACGGUAGCUAAUACCGCAUAACGUCGCAAGACCAAAGAGGGGGACCUUCGGGCCUCUUGCCAUCGGAUGUGCCCAGAUGGGAUUAGCUAGUAGGUGGGGUAACGGCUCACCUAGGCGACGAUCCCUAGCUGGUCUGAGAGGAUGACCAGCCACACUGGAACUGAGACACGGUCCAGACUCCUACGGGAGGCAGCAGUGGGGAAUAUUGCACAAUGGGCGCAAGCCUGAUGCAGCCAUGCCGCGUGUAUGAAGAAGGCCUUAGGGUUGUAAAGUACUUUCAGCGGGGAGGAAGGGAGUAAAGUUAAUACCUUUGCUCAUUGACGUUACCCGCAGAAGAAGCACCGGCUAACUCCGUGCCAGCAGCCGCGGUAAUACGGAGGGUGCAAGCGUUAAUCGGAAUUACUGGGCGUAAAGCGCACGCAGGCGGUUUGUUAAGUCAGAUGUGAAAUCCCCGGGCUCAACCUGGGAACUGCAUCUGAUACUGGCAAGCUUGAGUCUCGUAGAGGGGGGUAGAAUUCCAGGUGUAGCGGUGAAAUGCGUAGAGAUCUGGAGGAAUACCGGUGGCGAAGGCGGCCCCCUGGACGAAGACUGACGCUCAGGUGCGAAAGCGUGGGGAGCAAACAGGAUUACAUACCCUGGUAGUCCACGCCGUAAACGAUGUCGACUUGGAGGUUGUGCCCUUGAGGCGUGGCUUCCGGAGCUAACGCGUUAAGUCGACCGCCUGGGGAGUACGGCCGCAAGGUUAAAACUCAAAUGAAUUGACGGGGGCCCGCACAAGCGGUGGAGCAUGUGGUUUAAUUCGAUGCAACGCGAAGAACCUUACCUGGUCUUGACAUCCACAGAACUUUCCAGAGAUGGAUUGGUGCCUUCGGGAACUGUGAGACAGGUGCUGCAUGGCUGUCGUCAGCUCGUGUUGUGAAAUGUUGGGUUAAGUCCCGCAACGAGCGCAACCCUUAUCCUUUGUUGCCAGCGGUCCGGCCGGGAACUCAAAGGAGACUGCCAGUGAUAAACUGGAGGAAGGUGGGGAUGACGUCAAGUCAUCAUGGCCCUUACGACCAGGGCUACACACGUGCUACAAUGGCGCAUACAAAGAGAAGCGACCUCGCGAGAGCAAGCGGACCUCAUAAAGUGCGUCGUAGUCCGGAUUGGAGUCUGCAACUCGACUCCAUGAAGUCGGAAUCGCUAGUAAUCGUGGAUCAGAAUGCCACGGUGAAUACGUUCCCGGGCCUUGUACACACCGCCCGUCACACCAUGGGAGUGGGUUGCAAAAGAAGUAGGUAGCUUAACCUUCGGGAGGGCGCUUACCACUUUGUGAUUCAUGACUGGGGUG
rnacentral:rRNA from 1 species